AGCUUGGUGGCGCAGUGGAAGCGCGCCGGGCUCAUAACCCGGAGGUCGCCCGAUCGAAACGGGUCCAAGCUA